AAAAAACAAACAGAGAAGUUAGGUCGAUUACAAAAAGGAGUCAUGGAUAAGUUUGUUGCAAAAGAACCACAUGUGUCCUCCAAUAAUCAAUCACAGGAUCAAAGCCUCAUGGUUGAUAAUAAUGUUGACCCUGAUGUUGACAAUGAUCAUAGAGAUGAACAAGCAGAGAAAGAAAAUAAUGAUGAGGUUGAUGAUGAUCUUAUUGGUAACACAAACAUUGAUAUGGAUAAUAAUGCGGAUGUCGGUGGUGCUUUUCAUGUUAAUAUAGUUGAUCCAAGAAAUUGGGGUUCUCUUGAUCCUAAGCAGAUUGACAUUUUAGCACAAAAGGGCCCUAAAAGACUCACAAUUCAGAAAGGUCCUAAGGACAGAUAUUCUAGUAGGUUUUCUGAACCAUUCUAUACUAGAAUUAUGUCAAAUGGGGAGCAUUGCGAUAGAGAUUGGCUUGUCUAUUCUAAGGACCUCAAUAGACUAUUUUGCUUUGGUUGUAAAUUAUUUACAAAAGGGCAUAGAAAAGGUCAAUUGGCAAACGAGGGGUGUGAUGAUUGGGUACAUCUUGGCAAUACACUUAAAGAGCAUGAGACAAGUGUAGAUCAUGUUUUGAAUAUGACCACUUGGUAUGAGCUCUGUGCUACUAGAUUGCAAAAGCAUCAAACUAUUGAUAAAGAUGCUCAAGGACAACUUGAGAAUGAAGAGCACUGGAGAAAAAAUUUGUUCAGAAUUGUUUGCAUUAUUAAAUUUCUUACCAAGCAUAAUCUAGCCUUCCGUGGUAGUAACAGCAAACUGCAUGAAGACAGCAAUGGGAAUUUCUUGGGUCUGGUAGAGAUGUUGGCUGAAUUUAACACAGUUAUUCAACAAGAGCAUGCUUGUAUUACAAAUGAAGAAAUUCAUGGUCAUCAUCUUGAUCAUAAGAUUUAGAAUGAGUUGAUACACUUGUUUGCUUCGACUAUUACGUUUGAGAUUUUUAAGAAAAUAAAGAGUGCAAAAUAUUUCUUGGUCAUACUUGAUUGUCCUGAUGCAAGCCACCAAGAACAGAUAUCUUCAAUUGUUAGGUAUGUGGAUUCAUCUUCAAGUCAUGUUUGUGUAGAAGAAUCCUUUGUAGGAUUUUUAGAUGUAAAUGGUACGACUGGGCAAGGACUUUUAGAAGUGCUAGAGAAUGAACUUAAGCUUCUUGAUCUUGAUAUAGAUAAUGUGAGAGGACAAGGGUAUGAUAAUGGGUCAGAUAUGAAAGGAAAACAUCAUGGGGUACAAAGGAGAGUUUUGAAUGUAAAUCCUAGAGCUAUCUAUUAUGCUUGUGGUUGCCAUAGCCUUAAUUUAACACUUUGUGGUAUCAUCCAACACAUUUAUGUAACUUUCGCAAUUUUUACGAAGAAAUGCAAUUCUGAAAGAUAA
rnacentral:rRNA from 1 species